rnacentral:pre_miRNA from 1 species
GUAGUACUCCCUCUGUCCGGAAAUAUUUGUCGAAAAAAUGCAUAAAAAUGGAUGUAUCUAGAAUUAAAAUACGUCUAGAUACAUCCAUUCCUCCGACAAGUAUUUCCGGACGGAGGGAGUAUGAU